rnacentral:rRNA from 1 species
UACGUAGGUGGCAAGCGUUGUCCGGAAUUACUGGGCGUAAAGCGUGCGCAGGCGGUUUUGUAAGACUGUCGUGAAAUCCCCGGGCUUAACCUGGGAAUGGCGAUGGUGACUGCAAGGCUAGAGUUUGGCAGAGGGGGGUAGAAUUCCACGUGUAGCAGUGAAAUGCGUAGAUAUGUGGAGGAACACCGAUGGCGAAGGCAGCCCCCUGGGUCAAAACUGACGCUCAUGAACGAAAGCGUGGGGAGCAAACAGG